rnacentral:rRNA from 1 species
AUUGAACGCUGGCGGCAUGCCUUACACAUGCAAGUCGAACGGUAACGGGCCUUCGGGUGCCGACGAGUGGCGAACGGGUGAGUAAUACAUCGGAACGUGCCCGAUCGUGGGGGAUAACGAGGCGAAAGCUUUGCUAAUACCGCAUACGAUCUACGGAUGAAAGCAGUGGACCGCAAGGCCUUGCGCGGACGGAGCGGCCGAUGGCAGAGUAGGUAGUUGGUGGGAUAAAAGCUUACCAAGCCGACGAUCUGUAGCUGGUCUGAGAGGAUGAUCAGCCACACUGGGACUGAGACACGGCCCAGACUACUACGGGAGGCAGCAGUGGGGAAUUUUGGACAAUGGGCGCAAGCCUGAUCCAGCCAUGCCGAGUGCAGGAUGAAGGCCUUCGGGUUGUAAACUGCUUUUGUACGGAACGAAAAGCCUUCUUUUAAUACAGGAGGGUCAUGACGGUACCGUAAGAAUAAGCACCGGCUAACUACGUG